UACGUAGGUGGCAAGCGUUAUCCGGAAUUAUUGGGCGUAAAGCGCGCGCAGGUGGUUCUUUAAGUCUGAUGUGAAAGCCCCCGGCUCAACCGGGGAGGGUCAUUGGAAACUGGGGAACUUGAGUAUAGAAGAGGAAAGUGGAAUUCCACGUGUAGCGGUGAAAUGCGUAGAGAUGUGGAGGAACACCAGUGGCGAAGGCGACUUUCUGGUCUAUAACUGACACUGAGGCGCGAAAGCGUGGGGAGCAAACAGG
rnacentral:rRNA from 1 species